rnacentral:rRNA from 1 species
UACGUAGGGUGCAAGCGUUAAUCGGAAUUACUGGGCGUAAAGCGUGCGCAGGCGGUUUCGCAAGUCAGAUGUGAAAGCCCCGGGCUUAACCUGGGAACUGCAUUUGAAACUACGAGGCUAGAGUGUGUCAGAGGGGGGUAGAAUUCCACGUGUAGCAGUGAAAUGCGUAGAGAUGUGGAGGAAUACCGAUGGCGAAGGCAGCCCCCUGGGAUAACACUGACGCUCAUGCACGAAAGCGUGGGGAGCAAACAGGAUUAGAUACCCCAGUAGU